CUUAUGGUAAACAAUAUAUCCCUUAAGUUGUUUCACCUGGUAUAGCUUUGCGCUCUAGAUUAAACAUUUUCUAUCCUUAAACCAUUUUACUGCAAGGAAUUCUUGUAGCGAAACAGUUAAUAUAUAUUUAUCGUUUCAAUAAUUUAGAGAAAGAUUAACAUUUAGACCAUUUGUUGGUUCUCAGAGAGGGUUGAAGUAGGGUGCAUGCACUUUUCAUGUACUAAUUAUUAUAAUAGUGUUGAAAAUAAAGGACAAUCAUGGUUAAUAAUAACAGAACUCAGAGCUUCCAUGGCUGAUUCCCUGCAAUAAGCAAAAGGACCAUAUCAAGACUUUACAUUGCACAUUAUCGUUUCAUUGUCGUUUGCCCACCUUGUAUGUAAUUUUAAUUUUACCUAUUCAACCCUUCCUUCUUGUGUCCCUUUAGAAUGUAAGCCUGUUUGAGCAGGGCCUUCUACACCCUCUGUUCCUCUUACAAAUACUUGUCUGUUAGUCCACCUAUUGUAUAGCACUGAUGAAUUUCUUGGAGCUUUAUAAAUAACAAAAACCCCACACACUUAU